GAGCCAGGUGUGGGAUGUAAUCUCAUGGUGAGCCAUUUUUUUAAGCCGGUCUGAAAAGCGCAAUAUUCGGGUGGGAGUGACCUGAUUUUCCAGGUGGAAAAUGAAGCACAGAGAAGUUCAGUGAUGGACCUCAGAUACUACCAGCAGAAAGCAGAAGAGCUAGGAUUUCAACUUAGGAUGUCUGGAUCCACAGUCUGCACUCCUACCCACUAUGCUACACUGCCUCUAACUAUGAGGAAGCAAGGGCAUUUUUUUUUUUCUGGUGACUAAAAAGAUAAGAGUUCAAGUAUGUGGCUCCUGAUAAUCUAACUUAUACAGCCUGGAAAAAUUGAUAGUUACUAUAUCCAGACUGUCUCAUUCAAUUAACAGUUUCUCAAGUAAUCUUCUAGUUACUGUCGUAUUUUAUCUGUAUCAACUUAGCAAACCAAGUCCAAAACAUUUUAUAUGUGUCUAUCUUUCCUGCUGUUCAUAUUAUUGAGUUAGCCAAAUAAAUUCAAUUUUUUUUCUACUGUUUGUUUCUCACAA
rnacentral:lncRNA from 1 species